rnacentral:rRNA from 1 species
CACUGUAGGUUAUGUGUGCCCAAGCAUUGAGGCAGUCAAAGUAGGCAAAUCCGCUUUGAUAAUGCUGGGAUGUGAUGGGGAGCGAAAUUUAGUAGCGAAGUAGCUGAUUUCACACUGUCAAGAAAAGUCUCUAUCGAGGUUAAAGGUACCCGUACCGCAAACCGACACAGGGGGGUGAGGAGAGUAUCCUAAGGCCAGCGAGAGAACUGUUGUUAAUGUAUUCGGCUAAAUGACCAGCUAACUUACGGAUGAGGGGUUCCACCAUCAGGUGGCCGCAGAGAAUAGGCCCAAGCGACUGUUUACCAAAAACAUAGGUUUCUGCUAAGUCGCAAGACGAUGUAUAGGAGCUGACGCCUGCCCGGUGCUGGAAGGUUAAGGGGAUCUGUUAGAGCAAUCGAAGCAGUGAACUUAAGCCCCAGUAAACGGCGGCCGUAACUAUAACG